AGUUCGCGGACGCACCGCGCGUACCGUUCGCGGCCACCUCGUCCCGCCUCGGUACGCGUGGCCAGCGUUAAGUCUAGACCCAUCGAACGAUGAUGUCGCGCUGAGUGGCUUCUCAGGCUCAGGCCCCGAAAAGCUCAGGAAUCGGCCCCAGGUGUCCGUAGCGAAUGCCCGGCCGAGUACCAUUUCCAUAUUAGCAAAUCCCAAGCGGCGGUGCGAUCGGCAGCUUCUCAGCGCUCCGCUGGCCAGGCCUAACGAGUCGAACGCGGAACUAGAGAGCAGGCUAGGCCCGUGCGGGGCUGUUGCUCAGCAGGCCGGGCCUGGCUUUGGGCCCCGGGCCUCCCAGCCGGGGACUUUGCGCCUGCGCCCGUCCGGCUACUGCCGGCUCUCCCGGUGCGGCCGCGGUCCCAGCAGCAGCGUGCCGCCUGGGUGGCUGGGCGGUCCAUGGGCAGCAGCUAGGGCCACGAUGACAGAUUACGGCGAGGAGCAGCGCAAUGAGCUGGAGGCUCUAGAGUCCAUCUACCCCGACUCCUUCACAGUAUUAUCAGAAAAUCCACCCAGUUUCACCAUUACUGUGACAUCUGAGGCUGGAGAAAAUGAUGAAACUGUCCAGACUACCCUCAAGUUUACAUACAGUGAAAGAUACCCAGAUGAAGCCCCUCUUUAUGAAAUAUUCUCCCAGGAAAAUCUAGAAGAUAGUGAUGUCUCAGACAUUUUAAAACUAUUAGCAUUACAGGCAGAAGAAAACCUUGGUAUGGUGAUGAUCUUUACUUUAGUGACAGCUGUACAAGAAAAAUUAAAUGAAAUAGUAGAUCAAAUAAAAACUAGAAGAGAAGAAGAAAAGAAACAAAAAGAAAAAGAGGCAGAGGAAGCUGAAAAGCAAUUAUUUCAUGGCACUCCUGUUACAAUUGAGAAUUUCUUAAGCUGGAAGGCCAAGUUUGAUGCAGAACUCUUGGAAAUUAAAAAGAAACGAAUGAAAGAAGAAGAACAAGCAGGAAAAAAUAAAUUAAGUGGGAAACAGCUCUUUGAGACAGAUCAUAAUCUUGACACAUCUGAUAUCCAGUUUCUGGAAGAUGCUGGAAACAAUGUGGAGGUAGAUGAAUCUCUGUUCCAAGAAAUGGAUGACUUGGAGCUAGAGGAUGAUGAGGAUGAUCCAGACUAUAAUCCUGCUGACCCAGAAAGUGAUUUGACUGACUAAUGGACUGUCCCCAGCUGCAGAGAGGUGUGACUGCCACAGCAUCUGUGGCUUUGCUGAGGUGUAUUGAAGUGAAUUCUACCUUUGUCAUUUCAGAAUAUAGGCAGAACCUAAUGGUAUGGAACUGAAGACAAAGAGUUAGUUCUAAUGAUACUCAAGUAUUUUCAUCCUGAGUAAAUACUAUUAUUUCUUUUGUUUUCUGAGUUAAACAAGGACUCUACUUCUCAAACUGCAGCACACAUAAUCCCAGGAUGUGCAAAAGCAUGACUGGUGGUAUUUGAAGCAAUCACUGGCCAUCUCAGAUUAUCAGUUUGGUUCUUGGAUUUGGGAUAAUUUUUGCUUUUGUUUCUCUACGUAUGCUAAGUUGUAUAAAAUAUAAGAUUAAGAACAAAUACAAGUAUGUGUAUCCUUUGCUAUAUCCCUGUGACAAUGUCUGGCCCUGAGUAGGCAUCUAAUAUUUGUUGAAUGAGUGAAUUAUAGAAUAGAAUGAAAAAUUGGCGUGCAUUUUUUAAAGAUAAAACAUGACAGUUCAGUGUUCUGUUUGCCAUCUUCAGUUUUGCAUAACUGGAUUCUGCAUUAUUUUAUACUCUUCUGCCAGCAGAGAUGCCUUAGGGAAGAGGUGGAUAAAUACUGAUCUAAGGCAAACACAUCUAAAAGGUUACAGGAACAUUUCCUAGUUGAGGUAAGACCAGGAAGAGGAUGAAUAAUAGCUCUUAUAGAUACACAGGAUGAGUUCAUGGCUUGUACUGUCACAAACUCCAAAGAUACAUGUGCUAAGAAGCUAAGAGAUGCAUUCUUGGAGUCCAGGAGAGAGGCGAGUGUGGGUUUUCAGUAUUUAUAUGCUAGCACAUAGUUCGUGUUACAACACAAAGUAGUAAACGACCUCCAGUAGCUCGUAGUGUUUGUCCUUCAGAGAACAUACAUAUCAGGCAGCAAAGGUAGACAUUGUAUGAUAUAUUAAAAUGGGUUGACACUUCCACAACUGUAGAGAGUAAUUUUGGAGAGACCAUCAAUAUCUAAUGUGAUAGGGAAAGGUUUUUGCAAAUGAUACGUGGAGUAUGAGUCCAUAUAAAUGUAUAAACAGCAAUGACAUUAGGUUCUUUGCUGCUUUAGGACCUGUGUCAGAGUAAGAGAUGCAGAAUGUUGCCAAAAGGUAUAUUAUGUUGAUAGCCUUCUGUUUCUUACCACUUUAGUUGGGCAAAGGACUUGGAAAGAAAACGGGAGAGGUAGUUUGGGAAUGCACAAUUUAGUGUACCUUCCAUUAAGAAAAAAUGGAAAAAUGCUCGAAAAUGUUCAAGAACAUUAUAAGGGAUAGCAAAACAAAAUUUUAAAGAAUAACUGCUGUGCAGAGCCAUUUUGGCACCUGAGGUAAAAGGACACACCAGUAAUUACUUAAAAUUUGGAUAUU